rnacentral:rRNA from 1 species
AUGCCACGUGCUGAUGGUCCCUUUAAGGUGUUAGAGAAAAUAAAUGAUAAUGCAUAUAAACUUGAGCUGCCUGCAGAUUUUGGGGUUAGUCCCACUUUUAACAUUGCAGAUUUGAAGCCUUAUUUGGGUGAGGAAGAUGAACUUCCGUCGAGGACGACUUCAUUUCAAGAAGGGGAGGAUGAUGAGGACAUCAAUACAAUUGUUACACCCACAACCCCUGCUGCUAUACAUACUGGACCAAUUACUAGAGCUCGUGCACGCCAACUAAAUUACCAGGUACUUUUGUUUCUUGGUAAUGAUUGUAAUGUUCAUGAGAAUAUGAUGCUGCCUAAAUUGGAUACAUUUGUUUUGCUUACAAAUGAAGGGCCUAGCUUGGAGAAGGAUGAACAUUGGAUU